AUUGAACGCUGGCGGCAGGCCUAACACUGAGUCGAGCGGAACGAGUUAUUGAACUUCGGGGAACGAUAACGGCGUCGAGCGGCGGACGGGUGAGUAAUGCCUGGGAAAUUGCCCUGAUGUGGGGGAUAACCAUUGGAAACGAUGGCUAAUACCGCAUAAUGCCUUCGGGCCAAAGAGGGGGACCUUCGGGCCUCUCGCGUCAGGAUAUGCCCAGGUGGGAUUAGCUAGUUGGUGAGGUAAUGGCUCACCGAGGCGACGAUCCCUAGCUGGUCUGAGAGGAUGAAGCCACACUGGAACUGAGACACGGUCCAGACUCCUACGGGAGGCAGCAGUGGGGAAUAUUGCACAAUGGGCGCAAGCCUGAUGCAGCCAUGCCGCGUGUAUGAAGAAGGCCUUCGGGUUGUAAAGUACUUUCAGUCGUGAGGAAGGUUCAUGCGUUAAUAGCGUAUGGAUUUGACGUUAGCGACAGAAGAAGCACCGGCUAACUCCGUGCCAGCAGCCGCGGUAAUACGGAGGGUGCGAGCGUUAAUCGGAAUUACUGGGCGAGCGCAUGCAGGUGGUUCGUUAAGUCAGAUGUGAAAGCCCGGGGCUCAACCUCGGAAUAGCAUUUGAAACUGGCGGACUAGAGUACUGUAGAGGGGGGUAGAAUUUCAGGUGUAGCGGUGAAAUGCGUAGAGAUCUGAAGGAAUACCGGUGGCGAAGGCGGCCCCCCAGAUACUGACACUCAGAUGCGAAAGCGGGGAGCC
rnacentral:rRNA from 1 species